GGCCUCGUAGCUCAGUGGAUUAGAGCGUUGACUGUACUGAAGCCUUUCCCUUUCUGGUGUGAGUUUAAAUCCCACCGUAGCCA
rnacentral:tRNA from 1 species